GACGAACGCUGGCGGCGUGGAUUAGGCAUGCAAGUCGAACGGUAGGAUACCUUCGGGUAUCUGAGAGUGGCGAACGGGUGAGUAACACGUAGGUGAUCUACCCUCAAGAUUAGGACAACCCAGGGAAACUUAGGCUAAUACCGGAUGAAAGCAGCAGUGAUGUUGUUUGAAAGGUGGCGUAAGCUGCCGUUUGGGGAUGAGCCUACGCUCUAUUAGUUAGUUGGCGGGGUAAAAGCCCACCAAGGCAAUGAUAGAUAGGCGGCCUUAACGGGUGGUCGCCCACACUGGGAUUGAGAUACGGCCCAGACUCCUACGGGAGGCAGCAGUCGAGAAUAGUCUACAAUGGCCGAAAGGCUGAUAGUGCGACGCCGCGUGAACGAAGAACGCCCUUCGGGGUGUAAAGUUCUUUUAUAUGGGAGCAAUAAGGUCUACGUGUAGACUGAUGAGAGUACCAUAUGAAUAAGCAUCGGCUAACUCCGUGC
rnacentral:rRNA from 1 species